rnacentral:rRNA from 1 species
ACACCGGCGGCCCGAGUGGUAACCGCUUUUAUUGGGUCUAAAGGGUCCGUAGCCGGUUUGGUCAGUCCUCCGGGAAAUCUGAUAGCUCAACUAUUAGGCUUUCGGGGGAUACUGCCAGACUUGGAACCGGGAGAGGUAAGAGGUACUACAGGGGUAGGAGUGAAAUCUUGUAAUCCCUGUGGGACCACCUGUGGCGAAGGCGUCUUACCAGAACGGGUUCGACGGUGAGGGACGAAAGCUGGGGGCACGAACCGGAUUAGAUACCCGGGUAGUCCCAGCCGUAAACGAUGCUCGCUAGGUGUCAGGCAUGGCGCGACCGUGUCUGGUGCCGCAGGGAAGCCGUGAAGCGAGCCACCUGGGAAGUACGGCCGCAAGGCUGAA